AUGUAUGUAUAUGUAUUAAAAUGUUCUUUUGCCAGCCAAUGUGGCUUGUUAUAUUGUCAGAUUGUCAAUCUGAACCUUUAAUUACCAUUAAUUUACGUAAUUAAUGGUUCAGAUUGACAGUCUGACAAUAUAACGUGCCAAACUGUUUGGCAAUUGAGCAUUUUCAUACAUAUAUAUAUAU